rnacentral:rRNA from 1 species
UCCUACGGGGGGCAGCAGUAGGGAAUAUUGCACAAUGGGGGAAACCCUGAUGCAGCGACGCCGCGUGAAGGAUGAAGUAUUUCGGUAUGUAAACUUCUAUCAGCAAGGAAGAAAAUGACGGUACUUGACUAAGAAGCCCCGGCUAACUACGUGCCAGCAGCCGCGGUAAUACGUAGGGGGCAAGCGUUAUCCGGAUUUACUGGGUGUAAAGGGAGCGUAGACGGCAGCGCAAGUCUGGAGUGAAAUGCCGGGGCUCAACCCCGGAACUGCUUUGGAAACUGUGCAGCUAGAGUGCG